GAAAAGGUCAAUCGUAUCUCGUUGUUCAGUGAUCCGGGAGGUGGAAGGCUAUUGGUUCAGGGAGCCCGUCAGACCGGACUGGAGUGAGCCAUGAUUGGUCGACACAGGCGCAAUCAGAGUCAAGAAAACUUUGCUUUUGACUUAUUUACAGCUAGUCACAAUUGAGUGAAGUAUACUCCUGUAAACAAAUUUGGAUUUCUCUCUCUCAAUCUGAUUUCUCCAGAAUGUGGAAACUAUUUAAACAGACUGCAGAUUGAAUUCCUACAUAGGCUAUUCCAGAAUUCUUACGAGACUUGCAUUAGGACAUCAGCAACAGGUAUCAUCUAGUGAACUGUUCAGAUGCAACUGAAUUGAAAAGGAGCUGAACAAAAGAUCCUGAGAGAGACUUCAACAAAAAGUAAAAUGGAUUUUAUCAUACUUGAAAAAUCAACAAUUGCAGUCUGGAUUCAUACAUCACUGUCUGAUGCACCCAACUUGAGUCAAAAAGAUGUUUCAAAUCCCACUAGGCUGGAGGCAAAAAUACUCAAGAGUUUAAGAGCGUCUCUUGACAGUGUACAGAAUAAGAUAGCUUCUCAGCUUUCAGCUUUACUUCACGGUUUUAACUAUCAAAAGAAGCAAGCCAUCUGAAGAUUUGCCUGAGACUGAAGGAUCCACUUCUGCGACGACUCCCUCAGGACUUAUAAUGCAGAUGGAACCAGAUUGAGAAAAACCAGCCAACCAACCAACCAACAUGAUGGCUGAACCAGACAAGAGAAGUCCCGAAGUAAAAUACCCACCAAUUACCAGAAUCUGUGCCUGCCAUACAUCGAAGGAGAAGAUGGCAUCAGUUCAACUUCUAGAUGUGCAAAUAAAUGACUGGAGUUGAAUUUGUAA
rnacentral:lncRNA from 1 species